CACGUGUGCGCGAGUCGUUGGGAAGCGCAUGUCGAAUCCCGUGGGCGUAAUGAGAGUGAAGGGGAAGCCGGCCACGGCCGGCAGCCCCGAGGGAAGACGCGGCCGUCGCCCUACCGGGCCCGGUCGCUGCACUCCCGGGGCGUCUCGAUCUCUCCGCAAGGCGAGGCGAGGCGCACCCAGAGCGUACACGUUGGGACCCGAAAGAUGGUGAACUAUGCCUGGCCAGGACGAAGUCAGGGGAAACCCUGAUGGAGGUCCGCAGCGAUUCUGACGUGCAAAUCGAUCGUCUGAGCUGGGUAUAGGGGCGAAAGACUAAUCGAACCAUCUAGUAGCUGGUUCCCUCCGAAGUUUCCCUCAGGAUAGCUGGCGCUCAGGAGACCUGAGUCUCAUGCGGUAAAGCGAAUGAUUAGAGGCCUUGGGGCCGAAACGACCUCAACCUAUUCUCAAACUUUAAAUGUGUGAGAUCUCCGGCCUGCUCGUAAGAUGAGGCCGGAGUUUUUGGAUCGGAGUGCCAAGUGGGCCAAUUUU
rnacentral:rRNA from 1 species